rnacentral:other from 4 species
UUGCAGCUGGGAUGCUCGCCAGGCAUUCGUAUCCCUGGGGCCAUAAGACACCUAUAGGGAGUCGCCGCUGACCGGGCCCUGGUCCGGUUAUGUGAUGCCCACCUGCUUAAGCAGGCCGCAGAGGAUAGUCUUUCGCCAGCGGCAUUCUGGCUGCACG